rnacentral:rRNA from 1 species
CUCAGGAUGAACGCUAGCGGCAGGCCUAACACAUGCAAGUCGAGGGGUAACAUUGGUGCUUGCACCAGAUGACGACCGGCGCACGGGUGCGUAACGCGUAUACAAUCUACCUUUUGCUAAGGGAUAGCCCAGAGAAAUUUGGAUUAAUACCUUAUAGUAUGCAGACUUCUCAUGGAGAUUGCAUUAAAGAUUACGGCAAAAGAUGAGUAUGCGUCCUAUUAGUUUGUUGGUGUGGUAACGGCACACCAAGACUACGAUAGGUAGGGGCCCUGAGAGGGGGAUCCCCCACACUGGUACUGAGACACGGACCAGACUCCUACGGGAGGCAGCAGUGAGGAAUAUUGGACAAUGGAGGCAACUCUGAUCCAGCCAUGCCGCGUGCAGGAAGACUGCCCUAUGGGUUGUAAACUGCUUUUAUACAGGAAGAAACACUCCCUCGUGAGGGAGCUUGACGGUACUGUAAGAAUAAGGAUCGGCUAACUCCGUGCCAGCAGCCGCGGUAAUACGGAGGAUCCAAGCGUUAUCCGGAAUCAUUGGGUUUAAAGGGUCCGUAGGUGGAUAAUUAAGUCAGAGGUGAAAGUUUGCAGCUCAACUGUAAAAUUGCCUUUGAUACUGGUUAUCUUGAGUUAUUGUGAAGUAGUUAGAAUAUGUAGUGUAGCGGUGAAAUGCAUAGAUAUUACAUAGAAUACCAAUUGCGAAGGCAGAUUACUAACAAUAUACUGACACUGAUGGACGAAAGCGUGGGUAGCGAACAGGAUUAGAUACCCUGGUAGUCCACGCCGUAAACGAUGGAUACUAGCUGUUGGGCUUCGGCUCAGUGGCUAAGCGAAAGUGAUA